UACAGAGGUCUCAAGCGUUGUUCGGAUUCAUUGGGCGUAAAGGGUGCGUAGGCGGCGCGGUAAGUCGGGUGUGAAGUCUCGGGGCUUAACUCCGAAACUGCAUUCGAUACUGCCGUGCUUGAGGACUGGAGAGGAGACUGGAAUUUACGGUGUAGCGGUGAAAUGCGUAGAUAUCGUAAGGAAGACCAGUGGCGAAGGCGGGUCUCUGGACAGUUCCUGACGCUGAGGCACGAAGGCCAGGGGAGCAAACGGG
rnacentral:rRNA from 1 species